AAAAGAAUUGAGGGGCGCGCACACGCGCGGGGAGAGCAUGUGUUAUAUUUAGAAGCAACGAGAAGAACCUUACGUGCCCUGUGACAUGGUGAGAACUCUCCAGAGAGGGAGUGGUGCUUUCGAGAUCUCAGACACAGGUGGUGCAGAUGUGUUCUCAGCUACGUGUCGUGAGAUGUUGUUAAAUGUCUCGUAAAGAGCACAACCCUUGUCCUUAUUUAUCAGCACUUCGGGUGGGCACUUUAAGGGGACUGCCGGUGCCAACCCGGAGGAAGGUGGGGAGGACGUCAAGUCUUCAUGGCCCUUACGGCCAGGGUUCCCCCCGUCCUACAAAUGGUCGGUACAAAGGGUGCACAAGCCGCGAGGUGGAGCUAAUCCCAUAAAACCGUUUGUAGUCCGGAUCGCAUUUUGCAACUCGCUUGCGUGAAGUGGGAAUCGCUGGUAAUCCUGAAUCAGAAUGUCACGGUGAAUACGUUCCCGGCUCUGUACACACCGCCCGUCACACCAUGGGAAGGGGUUGCUCCAGAAGCAGGUAGUCUAACCUCAAGGAGGGCGCUUACCACGGAGUGGCUCAUGACUGGGGUGAAGCUCU
rnacentral:rRNA from 1 species